CAGUCGCCACGGUAAUACGUAGGGUGCGAGCGUUAAUCGGAAUUACUGGGCGUAAAGCGUGCGCAGGCGGUUAUAUAAGACAGAUGUGAAAUCCCCGGGCUCAACCUGGGACCUGCAUUUGUGACUGUAUAGCUAGAGUACGGUAGAGGGGGAUGGAAUUCCGCGUGUAGCAGUGAAAUGCGUAGAUAUGCGGAGGAACACCGAUGGCGAAGGCAAUCCCCUGGACCUGUACUGACGCUCACGCACGAAAGCGUGGGGAGCAAACAGGAUUAGAUACCCCUGUAGUCCCUGUCUCUUAUAC
rnacentral:rRNA from 1 species